UGGGGAAUAUUGGACAAUGGGGGCAAGCCUGAUCCAGCAAUGCCGCGUGAGUGAAGAAGGCCUUCGGGUUGUACAGCACUUUUAUCUGGGUCGAAAUCUGCAGGGCUCAUACCCAUGCAGUCUGACGGUACCAUAGGAAUACGCACCGGCUAACUUCGUGCCAGCAGCCGCGGUACUACGAAGGGUGCAAGCGUUACUCGGAAUUACUGGGCGUAAAGCGUGAGUAGGUGGUUUCUUAAGUCUGCUGUGAAAGCCCCGGGCUCAACCUGGGAAUUGCAGUGGAUACUGGGUAGCUAGAGUACGGGAGAGGGUAGUGGAAUUCCCGGUGUAGCGGUGAAAUGCGUAGAGAUCGGAAGGAACACCAGUGGCGAAGGCGGCUGCCUGGAACAAGACUGACCCUGAGUCACGAAAGCGUGGGGAGCAAACA
rnacentral:rRNA from 1 species